rnacentral:rRNA from 1 species
UAGGGAAUCUUCCGCAAUGGACGCAAGUCUGACGGAGCAACGCCGCGUGAGUGAAGAAGGAUUUCGGUUCGUAAAACUCUGUUGUUAGAGAAGAACAGCGCAUAGAGUAACUGUUAUGCGUGUGACGGUAUCUAACCAGAAAGCCACGGCUAACUACGUGCCAGCAGCCGCGGUAAUACGAAGGUGGCAAGCGUUGUCCGGAUUUAUUGGGCGUAAAGCGAGCGCAGGCGGUCAAUUAAGUCUGAUGUGAAAGCCCCCGGCUCAACCGGGGAGGGUCAUUGGAAACUGGUUGACUUGAGUGCAGAAGAGGAGAGUGGAAUUCCAUGUGUAGCGGUGAAAUGCGUAGAUAUAUGGAGGAACACCAGUGGCGAAGGCGACUCUCUGGUCUGUAACUGACGCUGAGGCUCGAAAGCGUGGGUAGCAAACAGG